CUGGGCUGAGGUAGUUGUUUGUACAGUUUAAGGGUCUGUGACACCACCCUCUAUUGGAGAUAACUGUACAGGCCACUGCCUUGCCUAG
rfam:Xenopus laevis strain J chromosome 4S, whole genome shotgun sequence.